rnacentral:rRNA from 1 species
UACGUAGGGGGCGAGCGUUGUCCGGAAUGAUUGGGCGUAAGGGGCGCGUAGGCGGCCUGGUAAGUUAGGAGUGGAAGUCCUGUUUUCAAGAUGGGAAUCGCUUUUAAUACUGUCGGGCUGGAGUACAGGAGAGGAAAGCGGAAUUACCGGUGUAGCGGUGAAAUGCGUAGAGAUCGGUAGGAACACCAGUGGCGAAGGCGGCUUUCUGGACUGAAACUGACGCUGAGGCGCGAAAGCGUGGGGAGCAAAC